UCUUUAUCAUCUUUAAUUCCAGCUGCAGCGGCCGCUGGCUUUCCUCCACACGAAAUCUAUCCCUUCUCGCUUCUCCUAGAUCUGUUACAAUCCUCCUCGUUCCUUCAAAUCCUACUUAAUAUUUGACCAGAUCGUUUCUCUACACACAUUUCGAUGUUGGAUUUCUACUGUUUCGCUCUAUGUGUCGCUGUUGGUUGUUGUUCUUUUUUGUCGCCAAAUCUGGUUCGUUUUCGCUUCGGAUGGGUAGAUCUUGGAUGAGGGAAUUAUAAAGAAGCCGGGAAAGAAUCCAGAUCUGUUUAUUUUUUUUUCUUCCAUUCAAGAAGUCUGGAAAGGAACCGGAUCUGCUCGUUCUCAAUUUCGGAUGUUCUAUAUUCAUUUAGAGGAAGAGAAUUUGAAAAGAUUAUAGAUGGGUCAGGGAAUUGAAUUGUUCUUGGUGGAUUAGCGAGCUUUUCUUCUUAUUGAUGGCGAGAGAGUCGAUCGGAGCAGAAUACAGUUGACAAUCUGAUUAUGAGAAGAUAAUAAGCGGGUUUGAUAUUAUAAGUGCAUAUUUAACAUUUCCUGCAUGAUUGGUAAGAUAUGCUAUGUUAUUUAUAUCAACAUGAUUAGUCGAGAGGUGAAGAUGGUGUGGGUCUUAUGAGAGUAUGGCAUAGGAUAUUGUAAGGUGUUUUGGUCAUGUAUCGACCUUUGCCAUGACAGGUGCGCUUGCAUGGCAGGUCAACCACGCUUAAUAAAAUUAUUCAUUUUUUGGUUUUGGGGGGAGGCGGCCCUGAGCUUCUUUUUCAUUUUGGGCCGGCCUCCUCCUAUGGUUGGUUGUGUGUGUGUCUCCCUCUCUCCCUCACUCUCUACGCGAUCCGUUAUUGGUUCUCUGAUCAUUCCGCCAACUAAAUGCUGCGUUGGACGUGGCUUAAUCUUUGACACAAACGCUAUAUAAGGACGAGGCAACCCAAUUUGGGUUAUAGCACUGACGGGAUUGCAGUUCUAGAUUUCCAUCCGAAAGGUAUAUCAAUAUUCUAUGUCAAAUUUAUAACCCCAAAAAGAUUAUUUGGUGUCUAAAAUUAAAUGCUGCACUCUGAUUUUAUGACUUAUUUAUAAGCAUUAGGAUUUGCAAUAUAUACUGUUAUCAAUAUGAAUUUGUAAGCAUGAAAAGCAUUGAGUUUCAGCUAGAACAUUAUAUUUUUUCAUGCUAACAAGAAUUAUUCCACUAAUUGCAAACUACAGGAUGCAAUCUCCCGUGGCAUGCAUUCAAAUUUUUUAGUAGCCGUGUUCAAUCAUAGUCACUUGGGGAAUAGCUAUCUAAUUUUUUUUUUUAUGAAUAAUAAAUUUUAUUUAGAUAAGUAGCAAGGCAAAGCCAAGAACAGAGGAAUAGCCAUCUAUUUAACCAAAAUACUGGCAACUCUAUUUGCAAUACUGAUAUUGCCCUUGACAACAUGUGAACAAAAGUGAAUUUGCAAAUCUUUGCCUGAAUGUAUGCUAUUUUGGUUUUCUACCGUUCAUAUUUCAUUCACAAGUUUACGGGUGUUUGUCCCGUUUUGUUAUCCUUGGGAGUGUUCAUUAUUUUACCCACUUUCAAUGGUGGAUGUGUACAUUUUGGGGUUUGGUGUUUAGACGUCCUGUUGAGGGAUCUUGAUUUUGCAUGCUGUAAGUUAUUGUUCUUAAUGAUUAAAAGCUUCUGUAAUCUGUAUAUGGAGAAAUGUGCUCCUAAGGGUAGGAAUGGGUUCCUGCUGAUAUUCACGAGUGCUGGGUUCGGCUCUAGGGGCUUGGCUGUUUUUGCAGCAAGAACAAUGAUGUUAUUGGUGGCAUACACAAGACAUCAAGCGGACUGUGGCAGCAGGUCAUUAUUUCAACCCAAAUUGAAGCGGACUCAUGGCUUCGUUAACUUCCAAGCCAGGUGGAAAACAUUCUACUCUUUUGUGGUGGAACUCCUGAUUCUGUUUUUUUAUGCAAUUUUUGCAAAUUCUCGGCCAUGCGUUGUCAAUUCUGCAACUUCUUGUGUUUCUGUUGGAGCAGAUGACACCGAGAGCGCUCUCUCUUCCAAAUUAGUGUGUGCAACAGCUGCUGAUUACUACACAAUUGUCGUUUUCUUUUGUAAUUGACUUACCGAGUCAAGGUAAAAUGCUAGUCUUAGAACAGGAAUUUGAUUCGCAUGCGAAGAUCCUAUUUGAAUAUCAUUUUAACUUUGUCAUAGUCUCUAAAAUGUGUAAUCAUGGUUUUAAUAACUUUGUUGAAGUUGCUUUCAUGUAGAACUGCUACGGCGUUUGUGCGUUUGUUGGGGGGUAGUUGGGGUUCUUCACCAUCAUUGAAUUUGUAUUGUGGCCUUGAUUUCUACAUUGAAUUCUAUUUUCAUAUUGUGGCCUUGAAAUGUCCUUUAAAGCAAAAAGUUUGCAAAAAAUUGUCUGAAAUCUGUAAUUUUUCUAUGGUUUCCCAUCCUGAUUUUCGGUUAUUUGGGGAAUGUUAUUUUAUUUUUUUAAAUGUUUAAAAAAGUUUUAUAGGGCAAGAAUAUUGAUGAUGAUGAUGAUGAUUUUUAGCAGUGGACAAAUGCUGAAAAGUUUAUGCAAUCCUAGAAAGACUUCAUAUGUAUGGUUAAUGAUGAUGAAGAAGAAGGCUUAUAAAGAUGAUUCAUAAUUGAGCACCUCGUUUUGCCUUACCCAACUUACGAUGAAUGGAUCAAGUGCUUCUUUGAUGCAAAGACAUUCCCACAAGGCGAGUUUAGUGUGGAGCUCAUGAGACAUGCAUUUUGAUUCGGAAGAGUUUGAUUGCGAGCAUUUUGACAAGAAGAAAGCUUCGACAUGCCAUGCAGGCGAGAAGUUGGCUCCAGAGAGAAUCAGAAUGUGCUUUUGUCUUUGUAUGGUCGGAUGAACAAAUUAUAAUUUGAUUUA